AGAGUUUGAUCCUGGCUCAGGAUGAACGCUAGCGGCAGGCCUAACACAUGCAAGUCGAGGGGUAACGGGGAGCUUGCUCCGCCGACGACCGGCGCACGGGUGCGCACCGCGUAUGGAACCUACCUUGUACAGGGGAAUAGCCUUUGGAAACGAAGAUUAAUGCCCCGUGGUACCACGCCCCGGCAUCGGGAUGUGGUUAAAGCCUUCGGGCGGUACAAGAUGGCCAUGCGUCCCAUUAGCUUGUUGGUAAGGUAACGGCUUACCAAGGCUACGAUGGGUAGGGGCCCUGAGAGGGGGAUCCCCCACACUGGUACUGAGACACGGACCAGACUCCUACGGGAGGCAGCAGUGAGGAAUAUUCGACAAUGGAGGAGACUCUGAUCCAGCCAUGCCGCGUGCAGGAAGAAUGCCCUAUGGGUAGUAAACUGCUUUUAUACGGGAAGAAAAAGAGCUACGUGUAGCUUACUGACGGUACCGUAAGAAUAAGGACCGGCUAACUCCGUGCCAGCAGCCGCGGUAAUACGGAGGGUCCGAGCGUUAUCCGGAAUUAUUGGGUUUAAAGGGUCCGUAGGCGGGCCGAUAAGUCAGGGGUGAAAGUUUGCAGCUCAACUGUAAAAUUGCCUUUGAUACUGUUGGUCUUGAGUUAUAGUGAAGUUGCCGGAAUAUGUAGUGUAGCGGUGAAAUGCAUAGAUAUUACAUAGAACACCGAUUGCGAAGGCAGGUGACUAACUAUAUACUGACGCUGAUGGACGAAAGCGUGGGGAGCGAACAGGAUUAGAUACCCUGGUAGUCCACGCCGUAAACGAUGGAUACUAGCUGUCCGGGGCCUUGAGUCCUGUGCGGCCAAGCGAAAGUGAUAAGUAUCCCACCUGGGGAGUACGUUCGCAAGAAUGAAACUCAAAGGAAUUGACGGGGGCCCGCACAAGCGGUGGAGCAUGUGGUUUAAUUCGAUGAUACGCGAGGAACCUUACCAGGGCUUAAAUGCAUAUUGACAGGUCUAGAGAUAGAUUUUCCUUCGGGCAAUUUGCAAGGUGCUGCAUGGUUGUCGUCAGCUCGUGCCGUGAGGUGUCAGGUUAAGUCCUAUAACGAGCGCAACCCCUACCGUUAGUUGCCAGCAUGUCAUGAUGGGGACUCUAACGGGACUGCCGGCGCAAACCGUGAGGAAGGUGGGGAUGUCGUCAAAUCAUCACGGCCCUUACGUCCUGGGCCACACACGUGCUACAAUGGCAGGUACAGAGAGCAGCCAUGUCGCAAGGCAGAGCGAAUCUAUAAAACCUGUCACAGUUCGGAUCGGGGUCUGCAACUCGACCCCGUGAAGCUGGAAUCGCUAGUAAUCGGAUAUCAGCCAUGAUCCGGUGAAUACGUUCCCGGGCCUUGUACACACCGCCCGUCAAGCCAUGGAACC
rnacentral:rRNA from 1 species